UCACUUUCCUUCCCGCAGAACGGGAACAUAUGAUCUGGCCAAAGCUGAGGAGAAAUACGGGAUAGAGGCGGAAACACACUGGAGAGAUAGCGAUGCUCCAGCUCCUGAAGGCCUCCCUGCUGCUGAGGAACAGCAGAAACACAAUGUCCUGGACAAGAGCCUGAGUGUACAUGAACUCUGUGUACAAUCCAGAGACACCCCCAUCACAUCUGAGAACCGCCGUCCCAAUCUGUCUGUUGGUGCUCUUGAGACUGAUGGAGGGAGAAAGAAGGCAGGGAAAGAGGAGAAGAAGAACAGCUUCUGGAAGUGGCCCGCUCUUCACUUUCCUUGCAGUAGAGCUGGAACAUAUGAUCUGGCCAAAGCUGAGGAGAAAUACGGGAUAGAGGCGGAAACACACUGGAGAGAUAGCAAUGACACCCCCAUCACAUCUGAGAACCGCCGUCCUAAUCUGUCUGUUGGUGCUGUUGAGACUGAUGGAGGGAGAAAGAAGACAGAGAAAGAGGAGAAGAAGAACAGCUUCUGGAAGUGGCCCGCUCUUCACUUUCCUUGCAGUAGAGCUGGAACAUAUGAUCUGGCCAAAGCUGAGGAGAAAUACGGGAUAGAGGCGGGAAACA